GCCGGGCAUGGUGGCGCAUGCCUGUAAUCCCAGCUACUCGGGAGGCUGAGACAGGAGAAUCGCUUGAACCCGGGAGGUGGAGGUUGCAGUGAGCUGAGAUCGCACCACUGCACUCCAGCCUGGGCAACAAGAGCGAAACUCUGUCUCAA
rnacentral:sRNA from 1 species